rnacentral:lncRNA from 1 species
GGUGAUGAUGCUGUUGUAUGGCAAGGAGACUUUGGAGUAUGAAGAUAUGGUCUAGGUGCUGCACUCUAAUGAACAGUGGGAAAAGAUGACCAAGGAUAGAGCUCCCUAGGAGGGCUUGGCCAUGGGGGAGAGGUCAGGAAGAGAAAAAGAAAGAGGCAAGUCAAGGGGACGAUCAAAGUUUUGAAAGAGCAGAAGCAAGAAAGAG